AGAGUUUGAUCAUGGCUCAGGAUGAACGCUAGCUACAGGCUUAACACAUGCAAGUCGAGGGGAAACGAUAUUGGAAGCUUGCUUCCGAUAGGCGUCGACCGGCGCACGGGUGAGUAACGCGUAUCCAACCUGCCCACCACUUGGGGAUAGCCUUGCGAAAGUAAGACUAAUACCCAAUGAUAUCUCUAGAAGACAUCUGAAAGAGAUUAAAGAUUUAUCGGUGAUGGAUGGGGAUGCGUCUGAUUAGCUUGUUGGCGGGGUAACGGCCCACCAAGGCAACGAUCAGUAGGGGUUCUGAGAGGAAGGUCCCCCACAUUGGAACUGAGACACGGUCCAAACUCCUACGGGAGGCAGCAGUGAGGAAUAUUGGUCAAUGGACGAGAGUCUGAACCAGCCAAGUAGCGUGCAGGAAGACGGCCCUAUGGGUUGUAAACUGCUUUUAUAAGGGAAUAAAGUGAGAGUCGUGACUCUUUUUGCAUGUACCUUAUGAAUAAGGACCGGCUAAUUCCGUGCCAGCAGCCGCGGUAAUACGGAAGGUCCGGGCGUUAUCCGGAUUUAUUGGGUUUAAAGGGAGCGUAGGCCGGAGAUUAAGCGUGUUGUGAAAUGUAGACGCUCAACGUCUGCACUGCAGCGCGAACUGGUUUCCUUGAGUACGCACAAAGUGGGCGGAAUUCGUGGUGUAGCGGUGAAAUGCUUAGAUAUCACGAAGAACUCCGAUUGCGAAGGCAGCUCACUGGAGCGCAACUGACGCUGAAGCUCGAAAGGGCGGGUAUCGAACAGGAUUAGAUACCCUGGUAGUCCGCACGGUAAACGAUGGAUGCCCGCUGUUGGUCUGAAUAGGUCAGCGGCCAAGCGAAAGCAUUAAGCAUCCCACCUGGGGAGUACGCCGGCAACGGUGAAACUCAAAGGAAUUGACGGGGACCCGCACAAGCGGUGGAGCAUGUGGUUUAAUUCGAAGCAACGCGAAGAACCUUACCAAGUCUUGACAUCCUUCUGACCGGAACUUAACCAUUCCUUCCCUUCGGGGCAGAAGUGACAGGUGGUGCAUGGUUGUCGUCAGCUCGUGUCGUGAGAUGUUGGGUUAAGUCCCGCAACGAGCGCAACCCCUAUCCCCAGUAGCCAGCGGUUUGGCCGGGCACUCUGAGGAGACUGCCAGGGAUAACCUGGAGGAAGGCGGGGAUGACGUCAAAUCAUCAUGCCCCUUAUGAUUUGGGCUACACACGUGCUACAAUGGCGUAAACAAAGGGAAGCGAACCUGCGAGGGUGGGCAAAUCCCAAAAAUAACGUCCCAGUUCGGACUGUAGUCUGCAACCCGACUACACGAAGCUGGAAUCGCUAGUAAUCGCGGAUCAGAAUGCCGCGGUGAAUACGUUCCCGGGUCUUGUACACACCGCCCGUCACACCAUGGGAGUCAGUAACGCCCGAAGUCAGUGACCUAACCGCAAGGAAGGAGCUGCCGAAGGCGGGACCGAUGACUGGGGUGAAGUCGUAACAAGGUA
rnacentral:rRNA from 1 species